AGAACGAACGCUGGCGGCAGGCUUAACACAUGCAAGUCGAGCGCCCCGCAAGGGGAGCGGCAGACGGGUGAGUAACGCGUGGGAACAUACCCUCCGGUUCGGAAUAGCUCAGGGAAACUUGGAUUAAUACCGGAUACGGCCUAGCGGCGAAAGAUUCAUCGCCGGAGGAUUGGCCCGCGUUCGAUUAGCUAGUUGGUGAGGUAACGGCUCACCAAGGCGACGAUCGAUAGCUGGUCUGAGAGGAUGAUCAGCCACAUUGGGACUGAGACACGGCCCAAACUCCUACGGGAGGCAGCAGUGGGGAAUAUUGGACAAUGGGCGCAAGCCUGAUCCAGCCAUGCCGCGUGAGUGAUGACGGCCUUAGGGUUGUAAAGCUCUUUCGCUAGGGACGAUAAUGACGGUACCUAGACAAGAAGCCCGGCUAACUCGUGCCAGCAGCCGC
rnacentral:rRNA from 1 species